rnacentral:lncRNA from 1 species
GGGCCGGGACAAAGCCUGGGCCGGGCCUGCGCUUCCGUUCGCUUGACUGGCUGCGCUUGUUUUCAGGGUUUUGGUCUGAAAACGGAUCUUACCUGCGCAGAGCAAAAUCGGUUGUAGAUUAUAUCCACGAAAAUUCCUUCUAUUAAAAUGAAUUUCAAGUCCCACCUACCCUGGAAGCAGAAAGAGAGAGAAGAGAGAGAGUAAAGAGAAAGAGAAAAGAAAGAGAAGUUGAAAAAGAGAAAGAAAACCAAGAAAGAAAGAGAAAAAAACCGAAAAUAAAUGGACAAGAAAGAAAAAGAUGUAGUCUGGUUUUGUUGCCCAGGCUGGUCUCCAGCUUCUAGCCUCAAGCAGUCUUCCCAUCUGCUCCUACCAAAGUGCUCGGAUUAUAGGCAUGAAUCACCUUGCAUGGGAGAUAAGGACCCCCACAUCAAGCCCUCAGGUCACUGGGAUCCUGGACUACGGCACUGCUCCAGGCAGGCCUGGUUAUCCUGCUUGAGGCAGCAAUCCUCUUGAGCCUAGUGAAAUGCAACUGGCUGUACCUCAAUGAUGUUGCCCUGAGAUUCUGCCAGUCGAGGUAUUACUUCAAUCUCCUGAGACCAGCCUCUACCUCCAGAUCCAGGGAGGCCAACGUGCCAUGCAUCCCUGGAGCAUGAAACCCAGGAUGGGCCGCCUUCCAGCCUCCCACAGCUGUGAUGCAAGUUGAACACAUACAGAGAGACUGCAUCUGCACUGGGUGGUUUUCCUGAGCCUUGGGGAGCAGAAUGCAUGAAUCCCAGGUAUCUGCCGAUCUGUAUGUAACAAAUUCACUUCAUGUAACUUACUGUGUGUCCGUGAGAUUAUCUCUCACUCAACUCAGACACAUUGGCAACCAGUGUGCAGUGAACCUGCUUCACAAGCAAGGAUGUGGAGAAACUAUUUUCGUACAUUUUGUGGGAAUCUGAAAUACUGCGGUCAGUAUGGAAAGCAGUAUCAUGGGAAACUUCCUCAACUCAAGAUCACCUACCAAUCCUUACAGAAUCAGAAUCAUCAUACAAACUGGUGAAAGCAUAGUUUCCCCUAGAGGUUGGGAUGAGGGCAAGAAUGUCCCCUCUUAUCACUACUAUUCCACACAAUAUGAAAGGUUCCAGCCAGUGAAAUAAAGGAAAAAGAAAUAAAAGUGACAGGCUGGGUGUGGUGUCUGAGGCCUGUAAUCACAGUGCUUUGGGAGGCUGAGGAAGGAGGGUGGCCUGAGGACAGGACAAAAAAAAUAGUGUACCAACAGAAAAUAUGUUGGUUGUGCAGGCUAAUACCUUUCCCAAAGGAAGGUAGCUACAUCCCUAUGACCUGUGUUACUGGAUAUAUCAAAAGGGAGUUUGCAAAUGUGGUCUAGAUAAGGAUCUUUAGAUAGACAUCCUGAAUUAUAUGGUCAAAGUGAUAGAAUCACAAGGUUCAAUAUCAGAAGGGUGCAGGUGGAUGCGAAGGGACAGAGACAGUGGUGAUGUGUUGAAAAUAGAGGGAUAAAGAGAUUUUUUUUCUCACCUUUAAAGAUGGAGGAAGUGGACCAUGAGUCAAAGGAUGUAAGUGGCCUCUGGAACCUACAAAGGGUAAGGAAACAAAUUCUCCCCUGGAGAUUAAUGAAGAAUCACAGAACUAUGGACCCAUAUUAGAUAUGUGACUUACAGAAUUAUAAAAGAAUAAAUUUUUCUUGUUUUAAGCCAAUCACUGUGUAUAGCAAUAGGAAACUGAUGAAAUGAUUUUAUGUAGAAAAUUCCAAAAAAAUCUACAAAAAUCUCUAGAACAAGAAAAAUGUAAAGGUAGCAAAGUAUAAGGUCAACCUACAAAAAUAUCGUAUAUUUCAUCAGCCAGGCAUGGUGGCUCGUGCCUGUAAUCCCAGCACUUUGGGAGGCCAAGGCAGGCAGAUCACUCAAGCUCAGGAGUUUGAGACCAGGCUGGGUAACAUGGUGAAACCCCAUCUCUACAAAACACAAAAAUUUAACAGGCCAUGGUGGCACAUGCCUGCAGUGCCAGCUACUGGGGAAGCUGAGGUGGGAGGAUGACUUAAGCCUGC